rnacentral:rRNA from 1 species
UGCCAGCCGCCGCGGUAAUACGUAGGUGGCAAGCGUUGUCCGGAUUUACUGGGCGUAAAGAGUGUGUAGGCGGAUAAUUAAGUCAGGUGUGAAAUCCCGAGGCUCAACCUCGGAGGUGCAUUUGAUACUGGUUAUCUAGAGUGCAGGAGAGGAGAGUGGAAUUCCUAGUGUAGCGGUGAAAUGCGUAGAGAUUAGGAAGAACACCAGUGGCGAAGGCGACUCUCUGGACUGUAACUGACGCUGAGGCGCGAAGGCGUGGGUAGCGAACGGGAUUAGAUA